rnacentral:rRNA from 1 species
AGAGUUUGAUCCUGGCUCAGGAUGAACGCUGGCGGCGUGCCUAAUACAUGCAAGUCGAGCGAACGGACGAGAAGCUUGCUUCUCUGAUGUUAGCGGCGGACGGGUGAGGAACACGUGGAUAACCUACCUAUAAGACUGGGAUAACUUCGGGAAACCGGAGCUAAUACCGGAUAAUAUUUUGAACCGCAUGGUUCAAAAGUGAAAGACGGUCUUGCUGUCACUUAUAGAUGGAUCCGCGCUGCAUUAGCUAGUUGGUAAGGUAACGGCUUACCAAGGCAACGAUGCAUAGCCGACCUGAGAGGGUGAUCGGCCACACUGGAACUGAGACACGGUCCAGACUCCUACGGGAGGCAGCAGUAGGGAAUCUUCCGCAAUGGGCGAAAGCCUGACGGAGCAACGCCGCGUGAGUGAUGAAGGUCUUCGGAUCGUAAAACUCUGUUAUUAGGGAAGAACAUAUGUGUAAGUAACUGUGCACAUCUUGACGGUACCUAAUCAGAAAGCCACGGCUAACUACGUGCCAGCAGCCGCGGUAAUACGUAGGUGGCAAGCGUUAUCCGGAAUUAUUGGGCGUAAAGCGCGCGUAGGCGGUUUUUUAAGUCUGAUGUGAAAGCCCACGGCUCAACCGUGGAGGGUCAUUGGGAACUGGAAAACUUGAGUGCAGAAGAGGAAAGUGGAAUUCCAUGUGUAGCGGUGAAAUGCGCAGAGAUAUGGAGGAACACCAGUGGCGAAGGCGACUUUCUGGUCUGUAACUGACGCUGAUGUGCGAAAGCGUGGGGAUCAAACAGGAUUAGAUACCCUGGUAGUCCACGCCGUAAACGAUGAGUGCUAAGUGUUAGGGGGUUUCCGCCCCUUAGUGCUGCAGCUAACGCAUUAAGCACUCCGCCUGGGGAGUACGACCGCAAGGUUGAAACUCAAAGGAAUUGACGGGGACCCGCACAAGCGGUGGAGCAUGUGGUUUAAUUCGAAGCAACGCGAAGAACCUUACCAAAUCUUGACAUCCUUUGACAACUCUAGAGAUAGAGCCUUCCCCUUCGGGGGACAAAGUGACAGGUGGUGCAUGGUUGUCGUCAGCUCGUGUCGUGAGAUGUUGGGUUAAGUCCCGCAACGAGCGCAACCCUUAAGCUUAGUUGCCAUCAUUAAGUUGGGCACUCUAAGUUGACUGCCGGUGACAACCCGGAGGAAGGUGGGGAUGACGUCAAAUCAUCAUGCCCCUUAUGAUUUGGGCUACACACGUGCUACAAUGGACAAUACAAAGGGCAGCGAAACCGCGAGGUCAAGCAAAUCCCAUAAAGUUGUUCUCAGUUCGGAUUGUAGUCUGCAACUCGACUACAUGAAGCUGGAAUCGCUAGUAAUCGUAGAUCAGCAUGCUACGGUGAAUACGUUCCCGGGUCUUGUACACACCGCCCGUCACACCACGAGAGUUUGUAACACCCGAAGCCGGUGGAGUAACCUUUUAGGAGCUAGCGGUCGAAGGUGGGACAAAUGAUUGGGGUGAAGUCGUAACAAGGUAGCCGUAUCGGAAGGUGCGGCUGGAUCACCU